CCAUCGACUCCAGCCCCUGCCAUCGACUCCAGCCCCUGCCAUCGACUCCAGCCCCGCCGGGGCUCCGGCACCGCCGGGGCUCCCUCCGGCCGCACGGCGUGCGGGCUCCAGCACCGCCACCCCGCUGGGGAACAGGCUGCAGAAAACACGUGAGCACACGCAGUCAAGAAUCUGGUUUUCCUUGGAGUGAAACUGUUCCUUUCACCUGUGUGAUGGGCAUGAAAGAAGUCUUCAUCUGAGUUUUUCAUAUUCCACCCCCUUCCCACCCUCCACCGUACCAGCUCUGUAAAGAAUAAAAGGAAUGAGACUGGAGAGAAACCAUGA